UCUAUCUCAAAUUCUCAAUGUGCUUGGCAACGAAACGACAGUCAAUCAUCAACGACAAUUACUCCUAACUAAAACGCUGGAUUCCAUCUCACGUGUCCCUCUUAACAAAUAUGACCUUUUCUCACAUGGAAUUGGAAGCCACUGUUGCGUCUCCUCCUCUUCGCUUCUCUCUUCCUCUACAAAGACUGGGUAUUCAUUCCUUCCUGCACCUUCUUGCCUAGCAAGGCGGACCAAUAAUGAGACGUCGUUAAAGAGGAGAACGCCGGGAGGAGGAUUUGAAGAUCAUGAUGAUAGCCGAUUUGUUAAUCUAUGGGUCCAAAGCUGUCUUUUUUAAUAAUUAUUUUAGAGACCAUUACAUGUCCAUGUUCUUCAAGAUAGAUAGCGAGUGGGAAAAGGGUAGAAUCUUCCUCAUGUGUGUCACCAUACCUGCUUUAAGCACAUCUGCAGCUGCAUCUUCUGGUGUUUUGGCAUAUGUCUGAUUUUCAUGCAUGACAGCUACCGCAUCGCAGUCAGACGUGAUGUAUCUGCUUAUUUUUCAGUUAAAAAAAAUGCAAUAUCAUUUUGUUAAUCCAAAAUGAAAAAAAAAAAAAAUCCUCUAUAUUGUCCUUAUAACCUAGUAGUGGUCUAUUUUGUGUGUUACCCUUGGAAGCCCCAGUAUCCUCUGGCUGUCUUAGACAAUAGAUUGUAAUCUGCACAGUUUGGGAUUCCAUUAACUUGAUUAUAAGAACACAUAAUCCCACUGGCUCUUCCUUCUUGUACGCAACUUUUGAAUGGAGGUUGAAAUGUAUCAGCCAUGUCCUGUUUUGUGACCUAUAUAAUGUGCAGAAACGUAAGUUAAUUCCAUGAAA